UCCCAUAAAUGUACCACGCGGCUAAAACACUACCUUACCCUGUUCGGAGUCAUGUUGAUAUUAUUAAAGUUGUGUUGAAAUUCUAAGUUUGGGGUAAAACCCCAUAAGUUUCAAAAGCCAGGGUGAGUGUGAAAAAAAGAAAGAGAGAAUCAUCAAGAAAAUAAACUCGAGGGUUCAAAAGAAGCACUAGGCAAAGAAGGGCACUCGGUUGAAAAACAAGAAUAGAAAAGAAAAACCCGAGCUAUAAAAAAAAUAUAAUAGAGGAAAAGAAAGAAAACGAAUAAACACAGUGAAAAUAAUAGUAACAUUGACUCUGAACCAAAAACCACUUUUUUCCCGUUUCGUUUGGAAUAUCCACACAAUAACC
rnacentral:lncRNA from 1 species